UACGUAGGGUGCGAGCGUUGUCCGGAAUUACUGGGCGUAAAGAGCUCGUAGGUGGUUUGUCGCGUUGUCCGUGAAAACUCACAGCUUAACUGUGGGCGUGCGGGCGAUACGGGCAGACUGGAGUACUGCAGGGGAGACUGGAAUUCCUGGUGUAGCGGUGGAAUGCGCAGAUAUCAGGAGGAACACCGGUGGCGAAGGCGGGUCUCUGGGCAGUAACUGACGCUGGAGGAGCGAAAAGCGUGGGGAGCGAAACAGG
rnacentral:rRNA from 1 species